rnacentral:tRNA from 1 species
GCCCCUGUAGCUCAGAUGGAUAGAGCACAGGUUUCCUAAACCUGGUGUCGCGUGUUCGACUCACGCCAGGGGCGCCA